UACGUAGGGACCAAGCGUUGUUCGGAUUUACUGGGCGUAAAGGGCGCGUAGGCGGCAAUUCAAGUCAUCUGUGAAAUCUCCGGGCUUAACUCGGAACGGUCAGAUGAUACUGCUUUGCUCGAGUGCGGAAGGGGCAAUCGGAAUUCUUGGUGUAGCGGUGAAAUGCGUCGAUAUCAAGAGGAACACCUGAGGUGAAGACGGGUUGCUGGGCCGACACUGACGCUGAAGCGCGAAAGCCAGGGGAGCAAACGGG
rnacentral:rRNA from 1 species